rnacentral:rRNA from 1 species
CCCUUAGAUGUUCUGGGCUGCACGCGCGCUACACUGAUGCACUAAACGAGUUUACGACCUUGCCCGAUAGGGUUGGGUAAUCUUUUUAAAAUGCAUCGUGAUGGGGAUAGAUUAUUGCAAUUAUUAAUCUUCAACGAGGAAUUCCUAGUAAGCGCGAGUCAUCAGCUCGUGCUGAUUACGUCCCUGCCCUUUGUACACACCGCCCGUCGCUCCUACCGAUUGAGUGCUCAGGUGAAUAAUUCGGACUGCAGCAAUGUUUGGAUCCCGAACGUUGCAGCGGAAAGUUUAGUGAACCUUAUCACUUAGAGGAAGGAGAAGUCGUAACA